CCCUAUGGGGUGCAGCAGGCGCGAAACCUCCACAAUGCGCGAAAGCGUGAUGGGGUUAGCCCGAGUGCUAUCCGAAAAGGAUGGCUUUUCCUUGGCGUAAAAACCCAUGGGAAUAAAGGGGGGGCAAGACUGAUGUCAGCCGCCGCGGUAAUACCAGCUCCCUGAGUGGUAAGGACGAUUAUUUGGCUUAAAGCGUCCGUAGCCGGCUUAGUGAGUCUUUUGUUAAAUCCAAUGAUUCAAUCAUUGAACUGCAAGAGAUACUGCUAUGUUAGAGGACGGGAGAGGUCGACGGUAGUCCAGGGGUAGGGGUGAAAUCCUAUAAUCCUUGGAGGACCACCAGUGGCGAAGGCGGUCGACUAGAACGUGCCUGACGGUGAGGGACGAAAGCUGGGGGAGCGAACCGGAUUAGAUACCCGGGUAGUCCCAGCUGUAAACGAUGCGGGCUAGGUGUAGGGGCAGCUACGCGCUGCUCCUGUGCCGCAGAGAAAUUGUUAAGCCCGCCGCCUGGGGAGUACGAUCGCAAGAUUGAAACUUAAAGGAAUUGGCGGGGGAGCACCACAAGGGGUGAAGGCUGCGGUUUAAUUGGAGUCAACGCCGGGAACCUUACCGGGGCUGACAGCAGGGUGAAAGCCAGAUUGAAGCUCUUGCCAGACAGCUGAGAGGAGUGCAUGGCCAAGGCG
rnacentral:rRNA from 1 species